GAUGAACGCUGGCGGCGUGCCUAAUACAUGCAAGUCGAGCGAACAGAUGAGGAGCUUGCUCCUCUGACGUUAGCGGCGGACGGGUGAGUAACACGUGGAUAACCUACCUAUAAUACUGGGAUAACUUCGGGAAACCGGAGCUAAUACCGGAUAAUAUAUUGAACCGCAUGGUUCAAUAGUGAAAGACGGUUUUGCUGUCACUUAUAGAUGGAUCCGCGCCGCAUUAGCUAGUUGGUAAGGUAACGGCUUACCAAGGCAACGAUGCGUAGCCGACCUGAGAGGGUGAUCGGCGACACGGGAAGGGAGACACGGUCAAGACUACUACGGGAGGCAGCAGUAGGGAAUCUUCCGCAAUGGGCGAAAGCCUGACGGAGCAACGCCGCGUGAGUGAUGAAGGUCUUCGGAUCGUAAAACUCUGUUAUUAGGGAAGAACAAAUGUGUAAGUAACUAUGCACGUCUUGACGGUAACUAAUCAGAAAGCCACGGCUAACUACAUG
rnacentral:rRNA from 1 species